rnacentral:rRNA from 1 species
UACGUAGGGUGCAAGCGUUGUCCGGAAUUAUUGGGCGUAAAGAGCUCGUAGGCGGUUAGUCGCGUCUGCUGUGAAAACUCGGGGCUUAACUCCGGGCCUGCAGUGGGUACGGGCUGACUAGAGUGCGGUAGGGGAGACUGGAAUUCCUGGUGUAGCGGUGAAAUGCGCAGAUAUCAGGAGGAACACCGGUGGCGAAGGCGGGUCUCUGGGCCGUAACUGACGCUGAGAAGCGAAAGCAUGGGGAGCGAACAGG